rnacentral:rRNA from 1 species
GUGGGGAAUUUUGGACAAUGGGCGCAAGCCUGAUCCAGCCAUGCCGCGUGCAGGAAGAAGGCGCUACGCGUUGUAAACUGCUUUUAACCGGGAAGAAACCCCAGGACGUGUCCUGGGUUGACGGUACCGGAGGAAUAAGCACCGGCUAACUUCGUGCCAGCAGCCGCGGUAAUACGAAGGGUGCAAGCGUUAUCCGGAUUCAUUGGGUUUAAAGGGUGCGUAGGCGGCGCGUUAAGUCAGUGGUGAAAUCCUGCAGCUUAACUGUGGACUUGCCAUUGAUACUGGCGCUCUUGAGUGCGCUUGAAGUGGGCGGAAUGUGCCGUGUAGCGGUGAAAUGCUUAGAUAUGGCACAGAACACCAAUUGCGAAGGCAGCUCACUAAGGCGAUACUGACGCUGAGGCACGAAAGCGUGGGGAUCGAACAGGAUUAGAUACCCGGGUAGUCC